rnacentral:lncRNA from 1 species
CUGCUAAAUAUUUAAAAGGAUGGUUGUGCUUCUUAGGGUGUUGGUAAAUGAUACUUUUGAAUUUAUUGGGUCUUUUAAAACGAUACAGAUGUUCUUGAGUGCGUUUAGAUAAAUAUCGUCCAGUUUCUCCUACGUACUGAAUACCACACCCCGGUUUGUUUCAUGUGAGUAAAUAAAUAAUACUGUUUGUUUUUCAAGUUAUAUCAGUUUCAAAAUUUAAAGAAAAUGUGCGACCAUUAAACGUGGACCUUACCGUAUUGUUGUGGAAAGACGAGGACAUGUAAGUCAUUUUUUGGCAUGACACUUAUCGAUAGAAGGUAACCACGAUUUUAUUGUUAAAAAUGUUAGCGAUGGUAGUAUUUUUAGAUAACCGAUUUUGAAGAUUGAGGCGUGUAGAUACCCUUUGAACAAGUUUAGUAUUUAGUAAUUUUCCAUUUCUAAGCUUCAUAAUUGUUUUGUUAGUGAAUUAUAUAAUAAAGGAGCAAAGAUUGGCGUCCAGAAUAUGAACCAGCAUACAAUAAUUUAAGUUAUAUAAAAUGGAUAAAUUUGUUCGGCUAAAAAUGUCAAACGCUAUCAGUAUUAAUUACCCGAAAAAGAUAGGGUAUAUCAGGGUAGGACUGAUGGCUGACUAAAUAGUAGAAUGGGGCUGAAUAUUGAAAUACUACUUUUUGAUAAAUAUUCCUAAAGUAAUGAACUAGAGCAGUUCUCGCUCGGACACACACUCCAUAAUCUAGUAUAUUAUAAGAGCAUAAACCUGAAGCACGGGGAGGCACUCUACUGCCUCCACACGGCACUAAAGACAAACUCUGUAAAAAAUAAAAUUGAGAAUGGAAAUGGGGAAUGUGUCAAAGAGACAACAGCCCGACCAAAUAAAAAACAACAGCAGAGGGUCACCAACAGGUCUUCAAUGUAGCGAGAAAUUCCCGCACCCGGAGGCGUCCUUCAGCUGGCCCCUAAACAAAUAUAUACUAGUCCAGUGAUAAUGAACGCCAUACUAAUUUCCAAAGUGUACACAAGAAACUAAAAUUAAAAUAAUACAAGACUAACAAAGGCCAGAGGCUCCUGACUUGGGACAGGCGCAGAAAUGCGGCGGGGUUAAACAUGUUUGUGAGAUCUCAACCCUCCCCCUAUACCUCUAACCAAUGGAGAAAAGUAAACGCAUAACAAUACGCACAUUAAAAUUCAGUUCAAGAGAAGUCCGA